rnacentral:rRNA from 1 species
AUUGAGCGCUGGCGGCAGGCUUAACACAUGCAAGUCGAGCGGAGCGAGGGUGCUUGCACCUUAGCUUAGCGGCGGACGGGUGAGUAAUGCUUAGGAAUCUGCCUAUUAGUGGGGGACAACAUUCCGAAAGGAAUGCUAAUACCGCAUACGCCCUACGGGGGAAAGCAGGGGAUCUUCGGACCUUGCACUAAUAGAUGAGCCUAAGUCGGAUUAGCUAGUUGGUGGGGUAAAGGCCUACCAAGGCGACGACCUGUAGCGGGUCUGAGAGGAUGAUCCGCCACACUGGGACUGAGACACGGCCCAGACUCAUACGGGAGGCAGCAGUGGGGAAUAUUGGACAAUGGGCGGAAGCCUGAUCCAGCCAUGCCGCGUGUGUGAAGAAGGCCUUUUGGUUGUAAAGCACUUUAAGCGAGGAGGAGGCUACUUAGAUUAAUACUCUGGGAUAGUGGACGUUACUCGCAGAAUAAGCACCGGCUAACUCUGUGCCAGCAGCCGCGGUAA